GAAAUGCGAUAAGUAAUGCGAAUUGCAGAAUUCCAGUGAGUCAUCGAAUCUUUGAACGCACAUUGCGCCCUUUGGUAUUCCGAAGGGCAUGCCUGUUCGAGCGUCAUUAUCACCCCCUCAAGCCCCCGUGCUUGGUGUUGGACGGCCGGUUGAGCGAUCGACCCCUCCGAAAGACAAUGACGGCGGCCUGUGGUCCCCCCGGUACACUGAGCUUUUCAUCGAGCACGUAUCGGAUAAGGGCGCCCGGGAUCCGGUCUUCUCCUCUCAGCAGGAAACUUCUCAAGGUUGACCUCGGAUCAGGUAGGAAUACGCGCUGAACUUAA
rnacentral:misc_RNA from 1 species